rnacentral:lncRNA from 1 species
GAGAAGCAAUGAACCAAUGAUCAAUAUCUCAUUCUAGUUCUCCUCCUCUAUAGCUGGGGAAUAUUAGACAAAAUUUUCCCCUUUCCAGUAGCUUCGAUUUCCUUAUCCGUCAACGAGAACAAUUCCCCCUUCCUCUAAGAGGUUGCUUUGAAUAUACAAGGAAACAGAAUGUAAGUUUGUAAAUCACAAAUUCAGGCAAAAUAGUAAUGCUUACUGUGACCAUUUCAACUACUGCCCUAAGCUCCUUACAAGUACUAUUGCCACCAAUCCUUAGAAAAACCCAGUGGUAAUAGUAUUUCCAUUUCUACGAAUAGGAAAAAUUAGUCAACAAGAUUAUUAAUUGGUUUCUUCACCAUUUCCCAGCUGGGAACAAUGUCUGAAUAAGAUUUACCAUCCCUUCCCCCAAAUUCAGUAGAUGGAGUAUCACAAUGAAUGGGAGACAAAUGCGAAUGACAAAAGGGUGUGGCACACUUAGCCUGUAUGAGAAACCUUGAGAGAACAGGGUCAGUUUGCCUCUUUCUUGUUGUGAAGGUAAACUAAAGCAACCAGCCACAGGGGAAGUAAGAAAGGAACCGAAAAUAGAAAGCCCCAUGCUGUCCUCUAUUUCCAGCAGUCACAAAUGACAGAAAUACGAAAGGAAAGAAAGAGCAGGGGAGUGAAAUGGCUGAAGUGUUGAAUCCCUGUCCAAUUUGUAGUGAGUAAAUAGAUCAUUAUUAAGCACCAUAGCAAAUGUCUGAAUCUCUGGUGCUUUAUUUCUCUCCAAGCAUGGAGCUGUAAUUACUGAUGAAUGUGCCACUGGCACCUCGGCAUGUGACAUCAUCUUGAUUCUGCAGAAUACAAAAAUCAUGAAAACUGUAAUCGGCAGAUAAAGAAUUGAGCUGAAUUUUCUUGGACUAAUAGGGUGGAUUCAUAAAAAAUUCAGAACAUUUUUGUGUGUGCUUGGCUUAUAUUUAUUAUCAAAAUUCCUUGAGUUAUUCCGUUAGCAUCACUGAAUGUCUGGGACCUGGCAAUGCAUGUACUCUACAGUACGAACACAAUGAUAUUGCAAAGAAUGCAGAUGUUCCGCCUAAAGUUAAACCUGCAAAAGUUAAACCACAUACUACUAAUAGAGUUUCCUGGAGCUUUUUUUUUCUACUUACCAUGAAGCCAGUCCAUAGUAUUGGAGGGUUAUAGAGAGUGAUGGUGUUUUAGGAACUCAUCAUCCAGUCUACAUGAGAGAGCUCAUUUUGUUUUUACAGUUUGCAAAUACUGGAUAAGAAGGUUCAGUGAGUAGCCUUGUGAGAAGCAUCACUAUUGUCACUAUGUGCUAUCUGGGUAUAUAAGAAAAUGGAUUGAUACACAAAGUUUUCUAAUUCUGUACUCAUAUAAUGGUAUAGAGGCAUCCCUUAUUCUAUUUUUUUGAAACAAUAGUUACUGUUACUGUUUUUGAGUACUUCCUUGGUGCUAUACACUUUGGAAAACACCUUGUACAUAUUAUCUUAUGGAGUAUACCCAAUAACCCAUUUAAUAGAUAUUAUUUUCUCUAUUAAAAUGUUGAGUCAGGCUCAAAGAUGUUAAAGUAACUCAUCAGGAAAGUGGCUAUGAAAAUUAGGAUUAUACAAGAGAGAUGGGAUCUUGUAUUCGAUUUUGGUUUUGUUUUAGUUUAGGAAGGCAAGCUUUCAUUGUGUUGCACAGAUAGGAUUUAAGGUCUCUCAGUCUUAUUUUCAUCUUUAUAGUUCUAGGCUUAGAGAUAUGUGUGACAUUGCUUCCAGCUAGAUUCUAGGAUUCAGUAUCUUUAUGUGUGCUUUGGAGUAUAUUUUAAACAGGGUAGAAAUACAAGGCAUAUGUAUCUUGGAAAGGCAGAUUUCAUCUCAAAGAGGGAUGGUACAAAUGAUUCUCUUUGGUCUAUAUGCAUAGAAGUGGCCAUAGAGUGAAAUACACAAGCUAUUGACACAGAUCCAGCUUGAAUAAUCCUUGGUGAGUGUAGGUUCUUGGACUUUAUUAUUAUUAUUAUUAUUAUUAUUAUUAUUAUUACUAUUACUAUUAUUAUUAUUAUUAGAUUUUUUUUCAUUUACAUUUCAAAUGCUAUCCUGAAAGUUCCCUAUACUGUCCCCCCGCCCUGCUCCCCAUCCCACCCACUCCAACUUCUUGGUCCUGGAAUUCCCCUGUACUGGGGCAUAUGAUCUUCGCAGGACCAAGGGCCUCUCCUCCCAUUGAUGGCCAACUAGGCCAUCCUCUGCUACAUAUGCAACUAGAGACACAGCUCUGGGGGGUACUGUUUAGUUCACAUUGUUAAUCCUCCUAUAGGGUCGCAGACCCCUUUAGCUCCAUGAUUACUUUCUCUAGCUCCUUCAUUAGGGGCCCUGUGUUCCAUCCAAUAGAUGACUGUGAGCAUCCACUUCUGUAUUUGCCAGGCACUGGCAUAGCCUCUCAAGAGAUAGCUAUAUCAGGGUCCCUGUCAGCAAAAUCUUGCUGGCAUAUGCAAUAGUGUCUGGGUUUGGUGGUUGUAUAUGGGAUGGAUCCCUGGGUGGGGCAGUCUCUGGAUGGUCCUUUCUUCUGUCUCAGCUCCUAAUUUUAGCCAAAAACUGGAAAGAACUCAGAUGUCCCUCAACAGAGGAAUGGAUAUAGAAAAUGUGGUACAUUUACACAAUGGAGUACUACUCAGCUAUUAAAAACAAUACAUUUAUGAAAUUCUUAGGCAAAUGGAUGGAAUUGGAGGAUAUCAUCCUGAGUGAGGUAACCCAAUCACAAAAAAAAACCCACACAUGAUAUGCACUCACUGAUAAGUGGAUAUUAGCCUAGAAACUUGAAUAUCCAAGAUACAAUUUGCAAAACACAUGAAACUCAAAAAGAAGGAAGACCAAAGUGUGGAUACUUCGUUCCUUCUUAGAAUGGGGAACAAAAUACCCAUGGAGGGAGUUACAGAGACAAGGUUCUUGGACUUCUAAGGAAGCACUAAGGGGAUAUAUAAUUUUCCAAUGUGAAAGGCUGUGCCAGGGAGAGCAACGGUCAUUUAAUCCUAACUUGUAUAGCUACUCAGAUUAGCAAUCAUCAGCUUCACCUCAUCUUUUUGCCUUGGAGGCAAAUAGAGACUUUUCCAUGUCACCCACUUCUCUGGGCUCAACACUUUCACGAAACUCUGUUCUGCAAACCCCAAAUACAAAGCUUGGCUUCUUCUUCUGUACCACCUCUAGAGGCUCUCCCAAUUCCAUGAGC